rnacentral:rRNA from 1 species
GACGAACGCUGGUGGCGUGCCUAAUACAUGCAAGUAGAACGCUGAAGGAGGAGCUUGCUCUUUCCGGAUGAGUUGCGAACGGGUGAGUAACGCGUAGGUAACCUGCCUGGUAGCGGGGGAUAACUAUUGGAAACGAUAGCUAAUACCGCAUAACAGUAGAUAUUGCAUGAUAUCUGCUUGAAAGGGGCAAUUGCUCCACUACCAGAUGGACCUGCGUUGUAUUAGCUAGUUGGUGAGGUAACGGCUCACCAAGGCGACGAUACAUAGCCGACCUGAGAGGGUGAUCGGCCACACUGGGACUGAGACACGGCCCAGACUCCUACGGGAGGCAGCAGUAGGGAAUCUUCGGCAAUGGACGGAAGUCUGACCGAGCAACGCCGCGUGAGUGAAGAAGGUUUUCGGAUCGUAAAUCUCUGUUGUAAGAGAAGAACGAGUGUGAGAGUGGAAAGUUCACACUGUGACGGUAUCUUACCAGAAAGGGACGGCUAACUACGUGCCAGCAGCCGCGGUAAUACGUAGGUCCCGAGCGUUAUCCGGAUUUAUUGGGCGUAAAGCGAGCGCAGGCGGUUAGAUAAGUCUGAAGUUAAAGGCUGUGGCUUAACCAUAGUACGCUUUGGAAACUGUUUAACUUGAGUGCAAGAGGGGAGAGUGGAAUUCCAUGUGUAGCGGUGAAAUGCGUAGAUAUAUGGAGGAACACCGGUGGCGAAAGCGGCUCUCUGGCUUGUAACUGACGCUGAGGCUCGAAAGCGUGGGGAGCAAACAGG